UCGCGCACUCCGGGGUCGGUGUAAUUCCGAACCGGCGGUUAUAGUCCGCGACCCGGCCGCAGCCAGCGGCCGGUUGACCAGGUGGAAUUCCUGGACCGACGGUGAAAGUCCGGAUGGGAGGCAGUGCGCGG
rfam:Streptomyces rubidus strain CGMCC 4.2026 genome assembly, contig: Ga0079901_1011